GCCUUCAGUCGGGAGUGUGUAUCUGGCGGCACUCUGAAUUUGACCGGCACCCGGAGCCCACGAGGCGGUGCCUGUAGUUUUGAGAAUCGCACGAACUUCCUACAGGUACCUAAGGAACGUUACGGAGAAUCUUGGAUCACUCGUUGUUGCUGUUCGCAAUUCCCUGGCUCGGAACGCAGUGAGUGAAGCCUUGAGCGGCGCGGCGGCCAACGGAUGUUAUGUCGUCUCCGAGAUGCAAGCCUGGGGAGAGUACUUUGUUGUUGUCAUGUCGAUGACGCCAAGUCUGAUCGAAGAGGCUUCGCUUCGCUCCAGGAUGUGGGCUGAAGGGUGUCUGGAAUCUGUAAUGAAAAUGAAGUAUACAAACCCACAUCUGUGUUGGCAGUGAGCUGACUGACGCCAUCAGUGAAGACCAGAGGAACUCCCUGAAUUGUUUUUCACGGCUGGAUAAUUACUCGUAAUCGAUGUUAGCUGUUUUGUGGUUUGGACGUUUGUAAUAAGGGUAAUAAAAUUACUUGAAAGCAU